rnacentral:rRNA from 1 species
GACGAACGCUGGCGGCGUGCUUAACACAUGCAAGUCGAACGGUGAACGAGGGAGCUUGCUCCCUCCGGAUCAGUGGCGAACGGGUGAGUAACACGUGAGCAAUCUGCCCCGAACUCUGGGAUAAGCGUUGGAAACGACGUCUAAUACCGGAUACGACGCGGGAGGUCAUCCUCCCCGCGUGGAAAGAACUUCGGUUCGGGAUGAGCUCGCGGCCUAUCAGCUUGUUGGUGAGGUAACGGCUCACCAAGGCCACGACGGGUAGUCGGCCUGAGAGGGUGACCGGCCACACUGGGACUGAGAGACGGACCAGACUCCUACGGGAGGCAGCAGUGGGGAAUCUUGCACAAUGGGCGCAAGCCUGAUGCAGCAACGCCGCGUGAGGGAAGACGGCCUUCGGGUUGUAAACCUCUUUUAGCAGGGAAGAAGCGAAAGUGACGGUACCUGCAGAAAAAGCACCGGCUAACUACGUG